GGGCCCUUCGUCUAUCGGUUAGGACGCCAGAUUUUCAAUCUGGAAAGACGGGUUCGACUCCCGUAGGGCCCGCCA
rnacentral:tRNA from 1 species